AUUGAACGCUGGCGGCAGGCCUAACACAUGCAAGUCGAGCGGGGUUUUCGGACCUAGCGGCGGACGGGUGAGUAAUGCGUAGGAAGCUACCUGAUAGAGGGGGAUACCAGUUGGAAACGACUGUUAAUACCGCAUAAUGUCUACGGACCAAAGUGUGGGACCUUCGGGCCACAUGCUAUCGGAUGCGUCCACGUGGGAUUAGAUAGUUGGUGGGGUAAUGGCUCACCAAGGCGACGCUCCCUAGCUGGUGUGAGAGGAUGAUUAGCCACACUGGAACUGAGACACGGUCCAGACUCCUACGGGAGGCGGCAGUGGGGAAUAUUGGACAAUGGGCGCAAGCCUGAUCCAGCCAUGCCGCGUGUGUGAAGAAGGCCUUCGGGUUGUAAAGCACUUUCAGUAGGGAGGAAGGGUGUUGUGUUAAUAGCACAGCAUUUUGACGUUACCUACAGAAGAAGCACCGGCUAACUCUGUGCCAGCAGCCGCGGUAACAC
rnacentral:rRNA from 1 species